rnacentral:lncRNA from 10 species
GAUCUGUGAUAAUUGUCCACAGGUAGUCUUUGAUCAUAUGUUCUCCUGUCUGGAGGAACUAAUAUGUCCUUCCAACUCUGCCCAGCCUUCAGUGUACCACACCAAGGAACUCCCACACUCUGAAUGAACAGCCCAGUGAUCAGGAGCUUUGAAUCAAUUCUUGGCACCUAACAGUUUGUGAAGAGUCUGCUAAACUCCCUCUAUCAGAAAUCCCAGAGGACUGAGAACAGGUCAUCCUUGGAGCUGUAUCUGAAUGGAGUCAGGAUCUGGAAGCCCAAGUCUCCUUGUCAAUGUCUGCUUGGUUCCCAAGGACACCUGUAAAUGGAAGAGGGGCAUAGUACACAGAAGACAUUGCUGGCAAGUGUGGUCUCUUUACGAUCAGAAACUAUUCUUAAGACCGGACGCGGUGGCUCAUGCCUGUAAUCCCAGCACUUUGGGAGGGCCGACAUGGGUGAAUCACCUGAGGUCAGGAGUUCAAGAGCAGCCUGGGCAACAUGGUGAAACCCGUCUCUACUAAAAAUACAAAAUAUUAGCUGGGCGUGGUGGUGUGCACCUGUAAUCCCAGCUACUCAGGAGGCUGAGACAGGAGAAUCACUUGAACCUGGGAGGUGGAGGUUGCCGUGAGCCGAGAUCGUGCCAUUGCACUCCAGCCUGGGCAACAAGAGCAUAACUCCGUCUCAAAAUAAAUAAAUUAAUCAAAUAAAAACUAUUCUUUAACAGUA